rnacentral:lncRNA from 1 species
AGGUUGGGAGUUUGAUUCCCCGCUGUAUCUCUUUGAGAGGGGCUGGACUUGAUGAUACAUAGGGUUCCUUUUAGCUCUACAUUUCAAAGAUGAUGAUGAAAACAAACAUUGAAAGCCUUUGACUUUGGUUCUCAACAUUUAAGACUUAACCCUAAACUUUCAUAAAAACUAAAUCCCUGAAAUGUGGAACACUCAUAUUUAUUACAACUUGAUUUAACCCUCCGUUGCAUUUGGCAUCGUUACUGCAGGUACUAAUGAUAUGGGAAACUUUCCCCCUUAAGUUCUGUUCCUUUCUCCCCCACAUAUUUUUUCUGCAAUAAAGGGAGUGGCUAGUCCAUAAUGUUCCACAUGCAGACUUCCAUUUGAUCAUGUUUAUUAUUUUUAAAUUUCAAGAGCUUCACUGAAAAAUAAUGAGAGAAAAUGAGACAAGUAAUUCUCCAAAGUAUGAAGGAACUAAAUGUCCGCACUAUAUAAUGUAAACCUCUGUUAAUAUGAAGGAACUAAAUGUCCGCACUAUAUACAGUAAUGUAAACCUCUGUUAGCCAUCUAAUAGCUACUUUAAUUUAGGGAACAGUUGAAAUUAGUGUGAAUUAUUAAUUAUUUUCUUUCUUAUACCUCCAGGAACUUUUGAGUAGAGUAAGGAACUGCAAGUAAAGAGUUGUUAAAAGCACCUCAAAAUCAACAUUCAAGGUCGUGGUUUAAACCAAGAAUGGAAAUGAAUAAAUUCCAAUGUGAACUCUGUGGAGGACAUUCCACACUGGGGCUUCAUGUGUGAACUGGAUAGCCAGUCAACAGAUACAAGAGACUGGAAUGUCCCUCAAGUCUGUGCUGACUUCGGUUAAAGGGGAGAUAAAGAAGAAACAGAUGGACUUGGUCCAGUAGCGGCUGAUGUUACUGUUCUCUGAGCAAGCACCGCCACAGAGAAACAGCAAGCUAAGCUGGUGCUGCCCACAGAGGUCUCCUGCUGCCUCGGAGGCAGAUUCACUUCUGCAGAGGAGAGCAGAGCAAGGAGCGUUUCUUUUGAAAAAACAAAAAAUAGAGAAUGUGUGAGAGGAACAAGCAGUCUAUUCAUUAAUUGAGGGAAGCGAUGCAAGCGAGGCAAAUUUGUUUCCCAGGCAAAUCGUUGCAAACAUCAACAGCAUGUCCAAAUGCAGGAACAUCCAGAGAUUCACAGCGUUCACUGGAAAAGUUUGAAAACGACUAGGGACACCAAAACCAAAUGUAUUCCGUGAUCCAUCUCCAGCUGUGACAUACCACUCAUAUAUCACAAAAACAGGGAAAAUAAAGCCUCACGUGCAUAAUAUUCA